rnacentral:rRNA from 1 species
CGGGUGAGUAACGCGUGGGUAACCUGCCUUAUACAGGGGGAUAACAGUCAGAAAUGGCUGCUAAUACCGCAUAAGCGCACAGAGCUGCAUGGCUCAGUGUGAAAAACUCCGGUGGUAUAAGAUGGACCCGCGUUGGACUAGCUUGUUGGUGGGGUAACGGCCCACCAAGGCGACGAUCCAUAGCCGGCCUGAGAGGGUGAACGGCCACAUUGGGACUGAGACACGGCCCAG